UGGGGAAUUUUCCACAAUGGGCGAAAGCCUGAUGGAGCAACGCCGCGUGCAGGAUGAAUGCCUUAGGGUUGUAAACUGCUUUUAUAGGUGAAGAAUAUGACGGUAACCUAUGAAUAAGGAUCGGCUAACUACGUGCCAGCAGCCGCGGUCAUACGUAGGAUCCAAGCGUUAUCCGGAAUUACUGGGUGUAAAGAGUUGCGUAGGUGGCAGAGUAAGUAGAGAGUGAAAGCGUUCGGCUCAACCGAAUAAACAUUGUCUAAACUGCUCAGCUAGAGAACGAGAGAGGUAGAUGGAAUUCCCAGUGUAGGAGUGAAAUCCGUAGAUAUUGGGAGGAACACCGAUGGCGUAGGCAGUCUACUGGUUCGUUUCUGACACUAAGGCACGAAAGCGUGGGGAGCAAACA
rnacentral:rRNA from 1 species